rnacentral:rRNA from 1 species
AGCAGCCGCGGUAAUUCCAGCUCCAAUAGCGUAUAUUAAAGUUGUUGCAGUUAAAAAGCUCGUAGUUGAAUUUCGGGGUUAGUAGGUUGGUCAUGCCUCUGGUAUGUACUGGUCUCACUGAUUCCUCCUUCCUGAUGAACCGUAAUGCCAUUAAUUUGGUGUUGCGGGGAAUUUGGACUGUUACUUUGAAAAAAUUAGAGUGUUUAAAGCAAGCUAACGCUUGAAUACAUUAGCAUGGAAUAAUGAAAUAGGACGUUCGAUCCUAUUUUGUUGGUUUCUAGGAUUGACGUAAUGAUUAAUAGGGAUAGUUGGGGGCAUUAGUAUUCAAUUGUCAGAGGUGAAAUUCUUGGAUUUAUUGAAGACUAACUACUGCGAAAGCAUUUGCCAAGGAUGUUUUCAUUAAUCAAGAACGAAAGUUAGGGGAUCGAAGACGAUCAGAUACCGUCGUAGUCUUAACCAUAAACUAUGCCGACUAGGGAUCGGAUGAUGUUAAUUUUUUAAUGA